rnacentral:rRNA from 1 species
UACAGAGGGGGCAAGCGUUGUUCGGAAUUACUGGGCGUAAAGGGCGCGUAGGUGGCCCGCUAAGUCGAACGUGAAAUCCCCGAGCUCAACUCGGGAACUGCGUCCGAUACUGGUGGGCUUGAAUCCGGGAGAGGGAUGCGGAAUUCCAGGUGUAGCGGUGAAAUGCGUAGAUAUCUGGAGGAACACCGGUGGCGAAGGCGGCAUCCUGGACCGGCAUUGACGCUGAGGCGCGAAAGCUAGGGGAGCAAACAGG